rnacentral:rRNA from 1 species
AGUGAACGCUGGCGGUAGGCCUAACACAUGCAAGUCGAACGGCAGCACAGUAAGAGCUUGCUCUUACGGGUGGCGAGUGGCGGACGGGUGAGGAAUACAUCGGAAUCUACUUUUUCGUGGGGGAUAACGUAGGGAAACUUACGCUAAUACCGCAUACGACCUACGGGUGAAAGCAGGGGAUCUUCGGACCUUGCGCGAUUGAAUGAGCCGAUGUCGGAUUAGCUAGUUGGCGGGGUAAAGGCCCACCAAGGCGACGAUCCGUAGCUGGUCUGAGAGGAUGAUCAGCCACACUGGAACUGAGACACGGUCCAGACUCCUAAGGGAGGCAGCAGUGGGGAAUAUUGGACAAUGGGCGCAGGCCUGAUCCAGCCAUACCGCGUGGGUGAAGAAGGCCUUCGGGUUGUAAAGCCCUUUUGUUGGGAAAGAAAAGCAGCAGGUUAAUACCCCGCUGUUCUGACGGUACCCAAAGAAUAAGCACCGGCUAACUUCGUG